rnacentral:misc_RNA from 1 species
AGCCAGGGGGCAGGUCUGAA